rnacentral:rRNA from 1 species
UACAGAGGGUGCGAGCGUUAAUCGGAAUUACUGGGCGUAAAGGGUGCGUAGGUGGUGACGUUAGUCAGGUGUGAAAGUCCCGGGCUUAACCUGGGGAUUGCGCCUGAUACUGCGUCGCUGGAGUAUUGUAGAGGAAAGUGGAAUUUCCGGUGUAGCGGUGAAAUGCGUAGAUAUCGGAAGGAACAUCAGUGGCGAAGGCGACUUUCUGGACAAAUACUGACACUGAGGCACGAAAGCAUGGGGAGCAAACAGG